rnacentral:rRNA from 1 species
UGAUACGUAGGGGGCGAGCGUUAUCCGGAUUCACUGGGCGUAAAGGGCGCGUAGGCGGUUACGUAAGUCCGGCGUGAAAAUCCACGGCUCAACUGUGGGACGUCGUCGGAUACUGCGUUGACUGGAGGUCGGUAGAGGCAGAUGGAACAAGCGGUGUAGCGGUGAAAUGCACAGAUAUCGCUUGGAACGCCGGUGGCGAAGGCGAUCUGCUGGGCCGUACCUGACGCUGAUGCGCGAAAGCUAGGGGAGCGAACCGGAUUAGAUACCCGGGUAGUCCUAGCCGUAAACGGUGGGUGCUAGGUGUGGGGGACGUAUGUUCCUCCGUGCCGCAGCUAACGCAUUAAGCACCCCGCCUGGGGAGUACGACCGCAAGGUUA